rnacentral:tRNA from 1 species
GUCUCUGUAGCGCAAUGGAUAGCACGUUGGACUUCUAUUCUAAAGGUCGUGGGUUCGAAUCCCCCCUGGGAUG